rnacentral:rRNA from 1 species
UACGUAGGUGGCAAGCGUUGUCCGGAUUUACUGGGCGUAAAGGGAGCGUAGGCGGACCUUUAAGUGAGAUGUGAAAUACCCGAGCUCAACUUGGGUGCUGCAUUUCAAACUGGAGGUCUAGAGUGUCGGAGAGGUAAGCGGAAUUCCUAGUGUAGCGGUGAAAUGCGUAGAGAUUAGGAAGAACCCCGGUGGCGAAGGCGGCUUACUGGACGAUAACUGACGCUGAGGCUCGAAAGCGUGGGGAGCAAACAGG